rnacentral:lncRNA from 1 species
CCGAAGUUUCCCUCAGGAGGCUGUGAGAUGCCCAAGGGCGGGAAUGGAGUCCAUUACCCCAGAUUUGGAGCUGAAAAGGACACUUCAGCGUGUCCAGCGGAGGAAUUCUUAACCUGGGGCUUGGGGGGGGGGGUAAUUCUGUGGAUUUUAUGUGCUUUAAAACAUGAUUCUGGGGCAGCUAGAAGGCACCGGCUCUGAAGUCAGGAGGCCCAGUUCAAAUCCGGCCUCAGACACUCAACACUUCCUAACUGUGUGACCCUGGGCAAGUCACUUAACCCCAAUUGCCUCA